rnacentral:ncRNA from 1 species
GUAACCAGGAGCCCACGGAACUUGUUCCGUCCUGGUUAGUUGGUGCGGCCCUUCGGGGAGUAUCGUGGUGGUUGUGGUUUAACACCCAAAUGCGGGUAGAGCAUCGCUCGACGUGGAGUUGCGUCAUACAACCGGGUUCCGUGACCCAGAUUACGGAAGAGGCUUAGAUAGUCCUCGUGCCAAACCAAGGUAGAAGUCACAACCAAACAGUCGUGUCUUUAAUUGGUACCUGCGGAAUUGUUCCAAGGGGGCGGUGAUUGACGCUUGAAUUAAUCCUAUACUAGGAACCGUGAGAUUAAGCCAUCGCGGCAGGUGCUCACGUUAAGCCCACUGACUUUCAUGUCCCUAUCUACUAUCUAGCGAAACCACAGCCAAGGGAACGGGCUUGGAAUAAUUAGCGGGGAAAGAAGACCCUUUUGAGCUUGACUCUAAUCUGGCAGUGUAAGGAGACAUAAGAGGUGUAGAAUAAGUGGGAGAUAUUAGACUUCGGUUUGGUAUCGACAAUGAAAUACCACUACUCUUAUUGUUUCCUUACUUACUUGAUUAAAUGGAACGUGUAUCAUUUCCUAGCCAUUAUACGGAUAUAAUUAUUAUGUCUUAUGGUAUUGGGUUUUGAUGCAAGCUUCUUGAUCAAAGUAUCACGAGUUUGUUAUAUAAUCGCAAACAAAUUCUUUAAUGAGAGAAUGCAUUUAUGUAUUAUUGAUUUAAAAAUUUGGUAUAACUCCAAUUACUCAGGUAUGAUCCAAUUCAAGGACAUUGCCAGGUAGGGAGUUUGACUGGGGCGGUACAUCUCUCAAAUAAUAACGGAGGUGUCCCAAGGCCAGCUCAGUGCGGACAGAAACCACACAUAGAGCAAAAGGGCAAAUGCUGACUUGAUCUCGGUGUUCAGUACACACAGGGACAGCCAAAGCUCGGCCUAUCGAUCCUUUUGGUUAAAGAGU